CCUCCUUCCUCUCUCUAGAUAUCUCUCUCAUCUCUCUAAAUCUCUCUCUAAAAAUUGGAGGGUUGGUGGAGAAGAUGCUUACGAACGCGUUGGGAGCGACGGAUCGGGCUUUCGUGCGGCCGUUGGAGCGGUGUGUGGUCGUCGCGGCGUUCACUUUGAGGUAAGCUUUUAGGAUUUGGCUUAAUCCUUAAUUCUAAGUGUUCUAAUAGCCUCUAAUGAGCAUUCUAAACAUGUUUGCUCCAUUUAAUUUGGAUUAUUUGGAGAUUAAUUCAUGUUAGGCUUAGAAAAUGGGGUUUUGUAGAAUAUGAGGGUUUGAUCUCAUUUGACCCUCCGUAAACCAAAUUGCUAGGUAAACGAACGCGUUGGCGAAGACGGUUCGGCAAUCCGACGAGCCGUUAAAAAGUUAUUAAAGAAAUGGAUGUUUAGGCUUCGGGUCCGCCGGGAGGGCCGAGGCGAUAUCGUAAAUUCAUGAAAACGGAUUUGAAGCAUCGUACCAAGAAACCGAAGACCUUUAAUUUUCAGAUUGCGGAUCGGAGGUCGUUUGGUGGUCGCGCGCGGAUUGGGUCAAGCCGAGCGGCGUGCGCCGCGGGAGGCCGAUUGCAAGUGACGACGAGCAAUCGGAACGCAAUAAAAGGUGGGGGAGUGCCAUCCCGAAGUCAUCGGGCUUCUUCCUAUGUCUUAGUGUUUAUCCGUUCACAUGUAGCAUAUUGUAUGUUGCUAUGCAUUAUAGGAUGACAAUACAUGCAUUCCUAAUCCUUAUAUGAUGUUUAUGAUCAAUAUAGUAUUAUGAUAUGGAUAUAUGAUGUGAUGGACAUAAGGAUUAUGAGAUGACAUUGGUAAACCUAUGAUGCUAAAUGAAAGAAGAACCUAGUGUUGUGUUUU
rnacentral:lncRNA from 1 species